AAUAAGGUCGUCCGGACCGUGAACGGAUUCGCCUCCGGCCUCUGGGCACGUCGGAACCGCAUGAGUUCACCGGGGUGGAAGGGGGACCGACAACUAUUCUCUACGAAUCAAAAUAAAAGGGACUUCAGUGGAAAACGGACCGGCACAUAUUCCAGAUUUUCAACCUCAUUAUCACGCCAUGGUAUGCGCACUUUGUCCUCCCCGUCAUUCAUUCUCCGCUCCUAUAUCAAAUCCUAAACUCAAUAUGAGACCCUGCGCACCCCCGGCCGCUUACCUGUAAUUGCGGCGACAUCUCCCUUUUGGCGACGACUUCACUGCCACCGGCCUCUAGGAAAAUGGUAUGAAAUCGCGGGUAACUUAAAACAUUAGGAGAUUUCCAGGGUUGCUAUUAACCUAUUAUUGAGGAAGAAGGUAAAUCUGCAAGUUUCAUUGGUCAUUCAUCAAAUGACAAUGUUACAACUCGCAGUUAGUUAUUGGCUCAUUGGAUCAACAAAGUACUAAUUUGUAUGAGAGGUGAAAUGAAGUUGCUUGUUGUUGAAUUAAGCUAUUUUGAGGGCUUCAUAAAGAUAAAUCUUUGAAAAUAUUAAAUGGAACAAUAAAGGCUCAUUUGCUUCAUUGUUCAAGUGAGUUUUGUUUCUGGCUCAAGGUUAGAGGAAGAAACACUAUCUUUUCUUUGAGGUUCAUAGUCUCUUGACAAUGCUGAAGGUUCCAGACCAUCAAGUUGCCGGCCACCAAGCCUGUGAUGGAAAGCUUGGACCCCUUGUGGAUGAUUCGGGACGCUUCUGUAAGCCCCUCCAAAGUGACGAACGUGGAUCUAAAGAGGUGGCAUUUUAUACAUCUUUUUCUUCAAAUGUUCAUAUUCCCGAAGCAAUCCGCAGAUUUUUUCCCAUCUUUUAUGGCACUCAGAUUCUGGAGGCAUCUGAUGGAUCUGGUCCGCAUCCUCACUUGGUUCUGCAAGAUCUUGUCUCAAAUCGCAUCCAUCCAUCAGUUAUGGAUAUUAAGAUUGGAUCCAGAACAUGGUACCCGCAAGCAUCUGAAGAUUACAUGCAUAAAUGCCUUCAAAAAGACAGAGAAACCACUAGCUUGCCAUUAGGUUUUAGGAUUUCUGGGUUGCAGGUUUAUGGGAGCAAAGAAUCAGGAUUUUGGAAGCCUGGAAAGGAGCUUAUCAAGAACUUUACUGCAGAUGAUGUUAGGUUAGUUUUGAGGAAAUUUGUUUCUUCUUACUUGUCUAGUGAUUCUGGUUCAGAUCCAGAUUGUUCUCUGGCAUCGACUGUUUAUGGUGGUUCCUCAGGGAUUUUGGCACAGUUACUAGAACUCAAGGCAUGGUUUGAGGAUCAGACUAUUUUCCAUUUCUACUCAUGCUCAGUUCUUAUGUUGUAUGAAAAGGAGGCAGUGUUGAAAGGAAGGAGUUCAGGUGCUGAAGUGAAGCUUAUUGAUUUUGCACAUGUUGUGGAAGGUGAAGGGGUAAUUGAUCACAACUUCUUGGGUGGACUUUGCUCUUUAAUAAAGUUUAUCUCAGAGAUACUUACUGGCAUUAAUUAAUCAUAGCUUCUUGGGAUGGACUUUGCUAUUUCGUGAAGUUUGUCUCAGAGAUACUUAUCACUCGGAAUGUCUUUGAACUCUCAGAAUCUGUGCUGAGGCCCUGUGGAUCAACUUAGAGUUGAUUUGAGGUUUGGGUAACAGUGGCAGCUGUACAGAGUACCAGAAUUCUUUUCCUACCUGCAGCUGGCUCGAGAUGUUUACAUUUAGCAAUUUGUUUUUUGCUCAUCUGUAGCUCCAGUUUAUGAAAAACUAGAACUCAAAUAUUUUUUGUUUAUAAACUGAUAAAUGCCAUCUUGACAAAAAGAGAUGCCUGUAGUUAUUUAAUUUUGUUUUAUAGCUGAAUUAAGGAUUUGUAAUUCGUAAAAAGCUGUAAUUCCUUGCUCUUUAAAAGCUGCCUUUUCAGGACAUGAGGAAAACAAA